UGAGAAUGUACAGUUGCACUUUGGUGCAAU
rnacentral:sRNA from 1 species